GUAGCGCGGUAGCUGGCUUUCAGGCUUCAUAUUUCGUUGGCUUAGUACUACACCACGCUUGAGUGUGAAAGGAGCAAUGUCAGGGCCAGACGAUAGAGUCUAGAAAAUUCUUCUCUCCAAAGGAGCAAGGGAGCCCUCCCUGAAACCUCUGAUGGCUGAGCACCACGGUAGGUCAGAACCUGCGGGAUUGGGACCACCGUGAUGAUGGAUACCUCUGAGCGGCAGAGCGGAGGCGGGAGAAGCCCUGCAGCGGCUGAGGGCUCUUGGGGAGGCAACACUUGGCCUGAUAGAAAAUUCAGCAUAUAGAGACCAUUGUCAAAUGGACCGCUAGUGCCUGCCUGGGAGCCUGGAAAGUGAAACAGUUCUUUGGCUGGCCCAAUACCUGCAAACCUCGGAGAUAUGCAGGUUUUGAUCAAGACCACCUCAAUAAAGCAAAUAUUGCAAUAAAGUAGUCUACAUUUCAAGAAGAGAAACUGGACCGGCCAUGAGAAAAUGCUGUCUCUAGGAUUCAGACUACAGCACUAGCUAUUCUCCAUGCCUGGCAAGUCUUACCUGCCCCUGUGUGAGAAAUGGAGGUACAAGAAGUCAAGACGAUCUGCUUGCCCCCUCACUGAAUAAUAUCUGCACAGAUCACUCAGAAGAUCUGGAUGGCCCCUGGAAGGCCUUUUUCAACAUGUGGAUUAUUGCAGUCUUAUGUUAGCAAUUAUUUUUGGUAAAAUAAAGCUCCAAAAGGGUGACUUUUAUUUUGGUAAAACAAAGAGUUGAAACUUCUGAGCUUAAAAUGUUAUACAAGAUCAUUUUAAUAAACUAAAUGUCUAUUAAUAGGGUAAUGUUAAAUAACUUAUAUGAAGCCCAUACUAAGGAAUAUUAUAUGAUAGUGUAACAAGAAUAUAUGUUCUUGGCAUAACAACAUUCUUAAGAGGAAAAAGUAAACGGCAGAAAAUGUAUAUCUUAUGUUGCAUUUAUAUACAAAAGCUGUAUGUAGAUUGAUAUGUAGGGGGCCUCUGAGGUGCUGAUAAUGUUCUAUUUCUUGACUUGGGUAGUGGUUAUAUUGCAUUUUUGUGACAAUUCAUUAAGCUGUAAAAUUAUGACAUGCAUACUUCUGUAUAUUUAAAAAAGUUUACUUUAAAAUGAUAUCUAAAGACAUGUAUGUAUAGAUAUGUGCGUGUAUAUAAUUUCUUUGAAAAAUCUCUAGAAAUAAUCAAUUAGUAACCAUGGUUGCCUCUGGUGAGAGCUGUAGCAUUUGGAAAAUAGUGAAGGGGACUCAAAUAUUCAAUUGUUUGAAUGUUUUACAGUGAGUAUAUGUAAUUUGUAGGGACAGAAAAUUCCCUCAAAGAACUAUUAAAACAUUAGCUACACACCUACUCAUUUUGCCUUUAAAAUCAAUUUUCUCUUUGCACAUUCAGCUGUUUCUUGUGUUCUCCUUGAAGUUCCAGAUGGAGGGAGAGCUACAUCCUCACCGGCAUUUUGCAAACACAUGAACAAAGGAGACACAUCUGAAACAUAAAAUCUGUGUGACAGCCUCCUUCAAAGGAGUCCCACUUGUCUUUGAAAACAAAGUAAAUUACCUGAAUGAAUACAAAUUCCAUCUUGUGAAGUCUUUGUUGAGAGGUAAGUGAAUCAUUGGUCAGAAGCCUAUAAAUCUAUGCACCAGUCCUUACUUUCCCCCUGGGUGCACUGGGAUAAAUAUUUUAGUUUUUUUUGUUUGU